UACGUAGGGUGCAAGCGUUAAUCGGAAUUACUGGGCGUAAAGCGUGCGCAGGCGGUGAUGUAAGACAGGUGUGAAAUCCCCGGGCUUAACCUGGGAACUGCAUUUGUGACUGCAUCGCUGGAGUGCGGCAGAGGGGGAUGGAAUUCCGCGUGUAGCAGUGAAAUGCGUAGAUAUGCGGAGGAACACCGAUGGCGAAGGCAAUCCCCGUGGGCCUGCACUGGACGCUCAUGCACGAAAGCGUGGG
rnacentral:rRNA from 1 species